GUGGAUUAGGUACCCUGGUAGUCCACGCCGUAAACGAUGGAUACUAGCUGUUUGGUAGCAAUACUGAGUGGCUAAGCGAAAGUGAUAAGUAUCCCACCUGGGGAGUACGAACGCAAGUUUGAAACUCAAAGGAAUUGACGGGGGCCCGCACAAGCGGUGGAGCAUGUGGUUUAAUUCGAUGAUACGCGAGGAACCUUACCAGGGCUUAAAUGUAGGUUGACAGGCUUGGAAACAGGUUUUUCUUCGGACAACUUACAAGGUGCUGCACGGCCGUCGUCAACU
rnacentral:rRNA from 1 species